AAUUGAAGAGUUUGAUCAUGGCUCAGAUUGAACGCUGGCGGCAGGCCUAACACAUGCAAGUCGAGCGGUAGCACAGAGAGCUUGCUCUCGGGUGACGAGCGGCGGACGGGUGAGUAAUGUCUGGGAAACUGCCUGAUGGAGGGGGAUAACUACUGGAAACGGUAGCUAAUACCGCAUAAUGUCGCAAGACCAAAGUGGGGGACCUUCGGGCCUCAUGCCAUCAGAUGUGCCCAGAUGGGAUUAGCUAGUAGGUGGGGUAACGGCUCACCUAGGCGACGAUCCCUAGCUGGUCUGAGAGGAUGACCAGCCACACUGGAACUGAGACACGGUCCAGACUCCUACGGGAGGCAGCAGUGGGGAAUAUUGCACAAUGGGCGCAAGCCUGAUGCAGCCAUGCCGCGUGUGUGAAGAAGGCCUUCGGGUUGUAAAGCACUUUCAGCGGGGAGGAAGGCGGUGAGGUUAAUAACCUCAUCGAUUGACGUUACCCGCAGAAGAAGCACCGGCUAACUCCGUGCCAGCAGCCGCGGUAAUACGGAGGGUGCAAGCGUUAAUCGGAAUUACUGGGCGUAAAGCGCACGCAGGCGGUCUGUCAAGUCGGAUGUGAAAUCCCCGGGCUCAACCUGGGAACUGCAUUCGAAACUGGCAGGCUAGAGUCUUGUAGAGGGGGGUAGAAUUCCAGGUGUAGCGGUGAAAUGCGUAGAGAUCUGGAGGAAUACCGGUGGCGAAGGCGGCCCCCUGGACAAAGACUGACGCUCAGGUGCGAAAGCGUGGGGAGCAAACAGGAUUAGAUACCCUGGUAGUCCACGCCGUAAACGAUGUCGAUUUGGAGGUUGUGCCCUUGAGGCGUGGCUUCCGGAGCUAACGCGUUAAAUCGACCGCCUGGGGAGUACGGCCGCAAGGUUAAAACUCAAAUGAAUUGACGGGGGCCCGCACAAGCGGUGGAGCAUGUGGUUUAAUUCGAUGCAACGCGAAGAACCUUACCUGGUCUUGACAUCCACAGAACUUUCCAGAGAUGGAUUGGUGCCUUCGGGAACUGUGAGACAGGUGCUGCAUGGCUGUCGUCAGCUCGUGUUGUGAAAUGUUGGGUUAAGUCCCGCAACGAGCGCAACCCUUAUCCUUUGUUGCCAGCGGUUCGGCCGGGAACUCAAAGGAGACUGCCAGUGAUAAACUGGAGGAAGGUGGGGAUGACGUCAAGUCAUCAUGGCCCUUACGACCAGGGCUACACACGUGCUACAAUGGCAUAUACAAAGAGAAGCGACCUCGCGAGAGCAAGCGGACCUCAUAAAGUAUGUCGUAGUCCGGAUUGGAGUCUGCAACUCGACUCCAUGAAGUCGGAAUCGCUAGUAAUCGUAGAUCAGAAUGCUACGGUGAAUACGUUCCCGGGCCUUGUACACACCGCCCGUCACACCAUGGGAGUGGGUUGCAAAAGAAGUAGGUAGCUUAACCUUCGGGAGGGCGCUUACCACUUUGUGAUUCAUGACUGGGGUGAAGUCGUAACAAGGUAACCGUAGGGGAACCUGCGGUUGGAUCACCUCCUUA
rnacentral:rRNA from 1 species